rnacentral:rRNA from 1 species
UACGGAGGGGGCUAGCGUUGUUCGGAAUUACUGGGCGUAAAGGGCUCGUAGGCGGCCAACUAAGUCAGACGUGAAAUCCCCGGGCUCAACCCGGGAACUGCGUCCGAUACUGGAAGGCUUGAAUCCGGGAGAGGGAUGCGGAAUUCCAGGUGUAGCGGUGAAAUGCGUAGAUAUCUGGAGGAACACCGGUGGCGAAGGCGGCAUCCUGGACCGGCAUUGACGCUGAGGCGCGAAAGCCAGGGGAGCAAACGGG